rnacentral:misc_RNA from 1 species
AAAGUCGUAACAAGGUUUCCGUAGGUGAACCUGCGGAAGGAUCAUUAGUGAACAGGCGGCUCGAUUCGAGCCUGCCGAACCCUCACUUCUUACCACCUGUGAAACCGGUCCCUUUUUUGAUCAACCUAGUGAUGUAUGCAAAGUAUUACAACACGUAACAACUUUCAGCAACGGAUCUCUUGGCUCUC